rnacentral:lncRNA from 1 species
AUGUAUCCUACCGACCAUCUCUAGAGCAAGCGGCAAAGGGUUUGGUGGUUAGUAUCUGAGACCCAAGUUCGAAUCCUAGUUGAUUCACAUUUCCAGCUAAGUUUAUUUCUAAAUGAAAUAAACGAAACGGGUAGCGUGCUACCUAUCUCUCAAAAAAAUAAAAAAUAAAAAUGAUGCAAUGUAUCCUGAAUAAAACUAUUCUUU